GGUUGGGCAGCUCCUGCUGCAGUCCUCUUUGAACCUGCGCCUUAGGCUCGGAGGCUCCAGCAAGUUUACUUUGAUCUCGUGGUUCCUUGUCCUCUGGGUCUUUGGAGUCUUGAUUUAAUUGAUGGGAAAGGGAGAAGGGAGCAGAGUUGUGCUUGAGAGAUCUCCCCGUCCUCCAAGCGGCACUGACCCCCUGCCACAUUGGCAGGGAAACUCGGUCUGUGUACUGCUCAGCCAGAAGGAAAAGUAAACAUGCGAGUGACACACAUCCCGGCAGCCCGCGCCACGGAAACGUUGAGUGCUACCGGCUGUCUUACUAAGGGCUGGAGUAGAGUUUCACCAAAUUACCCAGGCUGACAUUAAACUUGAGACUCUCCUGCCUCAGCCUCCUGAGCAACUGGGAGUACAGAGCCCAAUCUUCAAAUGCCUGGAGGCCACCUCUGCUUGGACGCUCCAUAUCUAAAACAGAGUGCUUCAAAUCCCUCACACCUUAUUUCUUUACCUGAUCUCCCAAUUUCUGUUCAUUAUUUUAUUACUUUUCUAAACUCUGGAGCUUGAAACCUUUGACUCAACUCUGUCACUCAAUCCUGUCAGUAAACAGUGCCUCUGAAAUGUU